rnacentral:misc_RNA from 1 species
GAUGAAGAACGCAGCGAAAUGCGAUACGUAAUGUGAAUUGCAGAAUUCAGUGAAUCAUCGAAUGUUUGAACGCAUAUUGCGCUCUUUGGUAUUCCGAAGAGCAUGCUUGUUUGAGUAUCAGUAAACACCUCAAAGACUUCAAUUUGUUUUGAAUGGCUUUGGACUUGAGCAAUCCCAACACCAGUCUUUACGAUCGGUGGAGGGUUGCUUGAAAUGCAGGUGCAGCUGGACAUUCUCCUGAGCUAAAAGCAUAUUUAUUUAGUCCCGUCAAACGGAUUAUUACUUUUGCUGCAGCUAACAUAAAGGGAGUUUGACCGUAUAGGCUGACUGAUGCAGGAUUUCACAAGGGUCGGCAACGAUUCUUGUAAAACUCGAUCUCAAAUCAAGUAAGACUACCCGCUGAACUUAAGCAUAUCAAUAAGCGGAGGA